rnacentral:rRNA from 1 species
UCGAGUUUGAAGUGGGCCUUUUGAGCUGCAGUAAUGUGUGCUCGAGGCCCCGCUCCAUCCACUCAACCCCUGUGCACUUUCGGAGUGGCGAGUGGGACCGCAAGGUCUUGCCCGUGGCUUCGUCUCUUAUCACAAACCAGUUUUAUUAUUGUCAUGUAGAACGUGGAUGCCUGCAAAGGCGGAAACUCAAUACAACUUUCAACAACGGAUCUCUUGGCUCUCGCAUCGAUGAAGAACGCAGCGAAAUGCGAUAAGUAAUGUGAAUUGCAGAUUUCAGUGAAUCAUCGAAUCUUUGAACGCACCUUGCGCUCCUGGACUUGUUUCAGGAGCAUGCCUGUUUGAGUGUCAUGAAAUCAUCAACCACGAUGCUUCUUAGUGUCGCUGGCUUGGACUUGGGGAUCUGCUGGCUUGUCAAGAGUCGGCUUCCCUUGAAUGCAUUAGUCGGGUGCCUUGCUCGAGAAGUGUGAUAAUUAUCAUUCACUGAUCGUCGAGGAGCUUUGUCUCGGCUUCUAACCGCAUUGGAAACGAUGCAAUUUUUGACACAUCUGACCUCA